GUCUACAUCUGUGCCACCCUGAACAUGCCUGAUCUCAUCUGAUCUCGGAAGCUAAGCAGGGUUGGGCCUGGUUAGUACUUGGAUGGGAGACCACCUUGGAAUACCAGGUGCUGUAGGCA
rnacentral:rRNA from 1 species